AUGAAAAACCUUUAUAUUCGGAGAAAAUCACAAUUUGUAUUCUUUUGUAAAAUAUGUUUGAAAACCUUAGAGAAUCUUUCAUAAACCAGUUUAGAAUGAAUUUAGACAAAACAGUAUAAGUAAGAGUUUUGAAGCAAUUGAAAACCAUUAUAGUGUCCUACUCGGUAAAACAGUGUACAGUGGUAAAAUCUUGUGCAUAUGGGUUAUCAAUCACAUGUGAUUGAUAUGAUUACUGGCAUGUUUAACUUGUAUUCCCCCCCUAUAAAGCAUGUAAAAACAUUUAAAAGGUUCAUUCAGGGGUAUGAACUCACUUGGUGUAAGUAGGUCCGACGAAGGCGCCGUUUGGGGCGUUCGGUGUCACGCAAGGACUCGAACAGACACAAUGACAUAAUUACAAUAUGAUAACAUAUGUUCACAUACAAUUAGUAUAUUUAAUACUAAUCAAACAAUUAUACACGCUCAAAGGAGCGGAAAACACUUUGGAUAAGCGUUUGGGUGUCCCGGGUAGCGUCUAAAGGUGUGUAUGGCUAAGGAACUGAGUUUACCCUCUGAGAGUAAACCCUUAAUACCAUGUUUACGGCCCAGGGACUACUCACCAUGAGUUUAUGGCCGUAAACUCAUGGUGAUGGGUUCUAUGGUGUUUUAGGCUUCUAGCUUGUUCAUGGGAUUUUUCUAAGUACUUUUCCAAAAAGGCAUGAGUGGGUUUAAGGCUUCUAAGGGAAUUAUGUUGGAUUUUACGGCCUAGGAACAUCUCCCAUGGGAGUUUACGGCCAUAAACUCUCAUUCCAUGGAUUUAGUGAAGUUUUAAGCCCUUAUUACCUUCCUAGCAAUUUCUAAUGGAGUGUGAUGCCAUUUUGGGGGAUUAAAACCAUCAUUUGGGUGUGGUUUGGGGAGUUUACGGCCUAGGUACUUUCUUGGGCCAUAAACUCCAAGUCACCCCAUAUUUCCUUGUAUUUAAAUGUUCCAAACCCUAAAUAGCAUGUCCUUAUUUUAUGUCUUAAGCCUAUGGGUGGUUUGGGAGUGUUUGGAACUUGAUUUAACAAGUUUAGAGGGUGUUUACGGCCUAAGCGUGUGCUUGGGCCGUAAAACCUCUUUUACGCCACAAUUCUUGUUGUUUUGGGGUUCAAACACUCCUAGGCUAAGUCUCCUAAUAGUUUCUAAGCUUAAGGAUGAGUUUAAAGGCAUGUUUGGCACCAUAUUAGGGGUUUACGGCCCUAGAGUGUUCCUGGGCCGUAAACUCCUUAUUCCAUGCCUUCUUGGAUGAUAUUUGAGGUGUAAUCACAAGCCAAUAUGUUUUGAACAAGCUAGGGUAAGGAGACUUACGAUUUGGAAGCGUUUGGUGGCGGAUUUGGGGCGAAAAUGGGUCUAGAGAGAGAGUAUAGAGAGAGAGUGUAAAAAGUCUCCAAUGGACUCCACUCACCCUUAUAUAGGGUUUUGAGUCGGAGCUCGGUGGAAUUCUACCCAAUACUGCCGUUAAACGGGGCUUUUGGUCGCACCCGAUUUAGUGGUCGUAAUAAUAAAAACUAACUUUUCCAAUUAAAUGGAAAUGUAUGCUAUGUGUUUUUAUUUCCUUCCAUCACGACUUAACGGCUUAUUAAACAUAAACAAAUAUAAUUUUUAUUUAAUUGACGACCUCCAAUUUACCGGAACUUUUAUAAACCGGAAUAUUCUGUUAACGGUAACGGGGAAAAGUAACGGGACAACUUGGGUUGUCACAUCAUCCCCCCGUUAGAGGGAAUUUGGUCUCGAAAUUCAGGUCUAGGCAAGAAAGUAGGUAUGAAUGGCCAAGUAGAGGUAAAGGAGUACUUCCUAUAUUGUUUGUCCUCGCAUUCCCAAGUGAACUUCAGUCUGUGUUUGUCAUNAGUGAACUUUAGUCUGUGUUUGUCAUUCCAACAGACCCUCACGUACGGGAUGCGGAUUCCGUCUCGUGUAACUAGUGGGUUUCCGACUGGUGUAUCUACGAGGUUAGGGUUCUCAAUGGAUUCUAUCGAUAUGAGUGGGGUACGAAGAGUGAUGUCGGGCAAUCGCAUAUCUAGUCUAAUUAGUGGAUCGAUCAGGUGUGAGUCUUGUGGUAUAUCCGAAGGUAGUAGCGGCCUGAAUAGGGUUGGAAAAAAUCUCCAUGAGAAUUCUCAUAUGGUCCUAAGCUCUUGGAAUGGUAGAGCUUUUCAGUACUCAUAACAUAGUGUACUUCUAUGGCAAGAUCAUCACUGGCGCGAUCGCCAUUCCGAAGUUCCUAACGUUCUCUCCCGUACUGGUAGUGUAGUCCUUCAGGUUGGUCCUUAGGAAACUUGGGUGGUCUUUGGUUUCGUGUUUUCUGUCAACUGGCUGAUAGAGACUUUCUAGAUCGUCGAGUGGGUUGUGUGACUAUGGUUAUCGGUUUGCUGUAGAGUGUCUAUCUCAAGCUUGUGCAAAACGAAUCUACACUAGAGGCUCUUGAGAUGCGGAAACUCUGAGGGUCGGGGAGAUAGAGUUUCACCAGACGAGUGUUGGACUAUCUCGGGAGGUGAUUCUACUAUCUCUGCGUAAGAUGGUAUUCGUGGAACACCUAAUAGUCCAAGGAAUCUCUAAGACUGUGGUUUAUUCUAGCGUGGAAAGUGUAUGUUCCUGCAUAACCCUUCGACUAACACCAGGGCUGGUGUCAAGCCUAUGAUGUCUUCGGGAUCUGGGUCAUGAGACUUAACGCAACUACUUUCGCACUUGACCAAGUAUUCUUGGCUGCGAAGGUUAUCCUGUGGUUCUCGGUAUCCUAGUGUUCACUUCGGAAAGUGUAAUUCAUCGUCUACAGGGCGACGACGAUUUCCUCCUUGCAAGAGGGUGGAGGAUGAUAAGCACCACUUGUUUAUAACUGGGUGGACGAGGUGCAUGAGUAGUGCCAGCAUCUACUACAACUACUCUUCCGAAGGUUCUGAGUUUUUUUCGGUCUAGGUCAAAUCUAGUGGGUAUAGGGUCUCAUCACUAGGAACUUUACUCGCUCAACCCGCCGUGAUUCUCUUGCUUCGGCUCCUAUGUUAUGGAAUAGGGUGAAAGUGUUUUGCGAAGAGGUCCGUGGUAGAGCUCAUGCUUGGCAUAACCGCCAAUACUUGAUGUAUGCCAGCAGUAUACCUGGUUAUAGUGGUCAGCCUCAUGAGUUCUAUUCUCUGGGUUCAGGAACCUGAUGUGCGAGGUGCGAAGGGUCUCCCGGGGGAAUCUACGGAGUAUGCUUAGGUUGGUGGUCAUCUUCUUAAAGUAUCUGUAGUGUCGUUCACUUCGGUGUCCAUCUGACUACGAGGGGUCGGUCAACAGUGCGGGAUACCCUCUCUUGGGUACUUCGGAAGGUUUGAGAUAAGAGGGACGAUUGACGGAUCACAUUAGGUUUGACUAUUUGUGUUAGGUUUAGGUUCGGAAGAACCGUUAUUUGCCGACAAGGCUAUGGAGAAAGUUCUUUUUGGAUAGCACUAAGGACGUACACAUGGUUGCACGAAGUCAAACCAUGAUCAAUAGAGUUGUCGAAGUUGGCACACUCCAACAUGAUGUAACGUGAAGAUCGAUAGAGUCAUGUGCCAAACAGGCACACAAGUUCUAGGCGUCUCGGGUUUCGUCCUAUGUAUCACUACCGCGGAUACUUGGACUGAUAGAGUCGACGUGGUACUAUAGAAAGUCCUAGGUGUUUCCGAAUAGAGUACCUUUUCAUGAAUGGAUUCUCACAAGGCAUUUCUAUAAUCUCCUAACAUAUACUAGUCAUGUAUAUUUAAGGUGGGGAGGACUGUUGACUGAGCGACCCCGCCCUAAUCCACAACCAAACGACGAACAGGAAAUGAGGCGGCAUUCACUCACUCUAGGUCUGUCCAUCUUAAAUAUACAUGGCCGUAACGUAUAUGUUUAGCCAUUAUAGUUUUACCUAAUGAAUUUUAAAUUUUAUAACAGUGUUGUGACUUUCGCCUUACUGGGAAGAAUUUACAUUUGAAUUAGUCUUUUAUUGUUCUUAGUUUAGUUAUCCGAGAUUGAGAGACGUACCAAAAUCUAACGAGUUCCUUGCCGCUUCUCCCUAAGCAGUAGUGUCAGGCUCCUUCUGUGUCUUUGUCUUUCCCUUCGGUUGGGCAGUCCUUCUUGAAGUGUCCCAUUUUACCACAUUUAUGGCAUGGAUUGGUCGUCACUUUGGUGAUUGAUGCAAUACGCUCCACCGGAGUUCUGCAUACGCGAGCAGUAUGACCCUUCAUGUUGCACCUAGCACAUAAGAGUUCCCGGCAGGCACCAUGAUGAUGGUAGCUGCACUUGCUGUAGUGGGGAAGGUCUCCUAGGUAUGGUCUUCUUGAAGUCGGGAAGGAAGGACUGACAGGGGUAUAGACUGCCUCAGUUCGUCGCCUUUCAGAAGGUCCUUGAGUCGAGGUACUUCCCUCCUCAAUCUUUAGUUUUCUCUUUAGUGGGUUCGGUGAAGGUUCUUGGGUAACUGGGUAUGAAAGUGUUGGUUGCUGCUGUCCAUUGGCAGGAUUGGAAAUCCCGACAGGGCCCUUGCUAACAUUUGCGGUGUUAGCAUUCAGGUGAGCCAUGACAGCUGCUACGGCUGCUGAGACUGCAGCUUGGAACGUAGCUUCAUCGAAUAAGAGAGCAGGUUUCUUGCUUGUGGAUUGGUUACGCUUCUUCGGUGGCAUGGUUUUCCUACACGGAAAGGAAUACAAGGUAAUGAGUGACAAUGGUUAACCCUGGAUAUUUCUGUCCUGAACGUAUUAGGCAUAAAUUUUCUCGUGCCUCGGAUGUUGGUUGUCUGAGUGUCGACCUACAUCCCUAUGAUGUAGUCCUGGUAAUCGAAGUGAGUGUAUGAGUAUCGGAAAAAGGCCAUAAGAUGCGAGUUGUUCCUACUAAGUUACCUCUAUACUGGGAAAGGUUUCACUCUCCGGCCUGGAGAGAUUUGAGAACAGUUCGGAACGAACUGCGAAAAGAGAGGCUCACAAGGGCAAUUGACUAAUUUCUCUCAAUAGAGAUGCGGGGAUCCGUCCUAAUUGUGUAAUUGGCAACGAGAGACGACUAUUUACCUAACACAUAGCGUGAGUAGUGUAAUCACUAACUCACUAAAUUGUAUUAUUUUACGAACACGAGGAAAAGACAAUUCUCGGGUUCCAUGUACUGGCUCCCUCGGUCUGCCUCGUAUCUUUGACUGGAGUCGGCGUUGGUUUCCAUCGGGUAGUUUCCUAGGGUUCUCAUCUCGUAUGGACAUAUUGAAUUUCUACUCCGCCUUCCUUCUGAUUCCGACUCUUGGUGUCACCACUUCAUGAUGGAUGACUGGAAUCUCCGAAGUUUAGGCGAAUCUCUCACCACUGUCCCUAAGAGAUAUAGGCACUUGGUGAAUUCAAUAGUCUCGACCCAUUUCAUUUAUUUCUGAAUAGUAAAUCUUCUCAAUGAACUUCUUCGGUGUCGGAAUCAACUCUUCUGUCAAGCACUUAAGUGGUUAGGGUUGUCUACAGGGUUCGUGCGAGAAUGGAAAUGUCUAAAGAAUCCUAAUUGAUUAUUAACAUUUCACUGGAUGAUCCAUAUCGAGUCCUGCUACGAUUACACAGGGUAUACAAAUCAUAUAUAGCUUAGAUCCGAUAGGCCUUCGAAUAUGUGAUACUACUCUAGAACCACAUCCCAAUGAGGAAAAGGAAAUAGGGCAAAACCACACAUUUUUAGCCUAUGGGAUCCUUAUUAUAUAUAACCUUGGGAGUAUACCUUCUGUAGUUGUAGGUAUAUCAAUAAGGAUAUUUUUAGUUAUUCACACAAGGUUGUUUAUGGAUUCUAAAAUACCCCUAUCGUAUUUUAAUUCUUGUUUGAUUCUUAUCUUCUGAAUAUCAUUCUGGAAUUAGUGUGGAUCUUUUAGCGUUCUAAAAUACUCCUACAGUAUUUUAACUUUAUGUUUGGCUCUAGCAUUCCUAGUUGGUAAGUUUCAGACCUGUUGUACACCACUAUCACUCCCAAGCACACGUUCAUCGCAUCUCGGAUAAAUGUAGUUGAUCAGGUUACAUUUAUCCCAGCUUACGAUUACAUAACUGCCCAGGUUUGACUGUAGUGCUCAACAUCCGAAGACUUUUAUUAUUGUUCUUCUUGUGAUACUUUUGUUCGAGUGUUUAGAUUCUGGAUGUUAUUACACUUUGGUAAAAUAUGGUUAUAUUUUAAUGUAUAAUUCUUGGUCAGAGUGUUUUAUCCCAUUGUAUUUAUAGGCUGUAUAUCUUUUAUGAAUUGAUAUACUUAGCUCACUAUAAACAAUGCUCUGAUACCAAUCUGUCACACCCCAAAACCGGAACGGCGGAAACGUUCUGGGGUGGAUGACGUCAUGUCAAGUAUCACAACACAUGCAUUAUAGUAAUCAAAGUACAACAAAACAUUGCAUUAAUAGUAAUAGUUUUACAUGGUUACAUUAAUACAUCAAAGUAAUACAAGUAAUAGAAUAAAUACAACGUGGUACUAAGCUAUCUUCAUCAACAGCUCCUGGGAUGUACCUGUCUAAUGCUAACCUGAGAAUACAAGUUAUUUGAAAAGCGAGUAUCAGCAUUUUUACAAAUGUUGGUGAGUUCAUAAGCAUUUAGUGACGUUUCAUUCAAAUAACUUAAUAAAGUAAUAGUUUAAGAGAUUUCAGUGUAUUAGAGUCCUUUCCAGAAAAUCCUAUAUUUUCUUUAAUAAAAGCAGCCUUCUACCAAGACUGGUCAGUGAUGUGUGGUAAAAAGUAGUUUUCCUUAAGUUACUAUCAUUAUCAAAGUACUGAAUUUGAUUAUUGAGGAAAGCAAACGACAUCAGGGAAUAUCAUAUGCCUUAGCAGUGAGGACUGCUGACUAAGGCAUGGAACCAUAGACUCCAGGAAAGUAACAAACGAACGACACGCCCGGUUCAAUCUAACAAGUAGAGACACAGACCCCAUAAGGUACCAAAUGACAGGUACAACUAGUAAGGUCUAAAACAAUGAAUACAGACCGCAGACAAUAUCAAAUGAAAGAUACGUCUAUCGAGGUCUAAAACAGUGAACACAGUGAAUACAGUGGAUUUUGUGAAUACAGUGGAUACAAACCCCAGACAACAUCUAAUGAAAGAUACGUCUUAUAAGGUCAAAACAGUGUGACUCUGAAAAUGAGUUACCAGCAUACAGUUUAAAUAGCUGGCCAAAUACCGUUACCUUAAAGCCAUGAAUUAUAAGGUAACCCGGGACACUCGUAACCAUACUGACUAGAGUACCAGACGCCCUACAGGCGUCUAAAAUGUGACAUUUGUCACCUAUUGGCUUGGUAGGCUGGGACUGUAGCUAGCAGUCUGGGUGCGGGGUUAUCAAUCCCGUAUAGAUCUAUACACACAAUGUUCGCUCUCCUUAUAGGAGAUUCUGGUUACCAACUAGACGACGGAGAAGGCCGUGUCCUGAAGAUGCAUCCCAAAGAGUGGGUAUAGACUUCCAAAUAGUGGGUAGUGUGUAAGUACUGAACUAGAGGUAGAGACUUCCCAAUAGUGGGUUUCUAAUGUAAGUGUAGACUAGAGGUAGAGGCUCUUAACUGAUCUGACUAGAGAAUUCCUAUAUGUCUAUACUCAUAUACAUAAUAUAUAACUAAUGAGUCAAACGACCUUCGGACGGCUAUCCUAUCCCACCAGAUCACAUCUCAACGAAGAAAAGGAAAUAGGGCAGACGCGCCUUCCUAAGUCUUUCAAUCAUUACUUAUACGUACCUAUAUAAGCACAGACAUACAUCUAACUACGAUUGAGUGCGUAUCAAGUAGAAGUGAUCUUUGUGAAGUAGGAGUGUCUAACAAGUGAAGUAGGAGUGGUCGCAAGUGAAUUAAGAGUGUCGAACAUGUAUAAGCGUAUCACGAAGUAGAGACGACAAUAAGUGAAGUAAGAGCGUAUCGAGUUUAAGUGAAGUAGAGGCGAUAUCAAGUAUAAGUGAAGUAGAAUUGUAUCUCCAAGUAAGAGUAUGAAUAAGUAUAAGCGUCCAUCAGGUAUAAGUGACUACAAGUAUAAGUGAAAGCGUUACAGAGUAGGAGUAUUAAAUAAGUAUAUGUGAAGCAGCAAUAUUUAACAAGUAAAAGUAUACGUCGUAAAAGGGAAACUUUGAUGAAAAACCUUUAUAUUCGGAGAACAUCACAAUUUGUAUUCUUUUGUAAAAUAUGUUUCAAAACCUUACAGAAUCUUUCAUAAACCAGUUUAGAAUGAAUUUAGACAAAACAGUAUAAGUAAGAGUUUUGAAGCAAUUGAAAACCAUUAUAGUGUCUUACUCGGUAAAACAGUGUACAGUGGUAAAAUCUUGUGCAUACGGGUUAUCAAUCACAUGUUAUUGAUAUGAUAACUGGCAUGCUUAACUUGUAUUCCCCCCUAUAAAACAGGUAAAAACAUUUAAAAGGUUCAUUCAGGGGUAUGAGCUCACCUGGUGUAAGUAGGUCCGACGAAGGUGUCGUUUGGGGCGUUCGGUGUCACGCAAGGACUCGAACACACACAAUGACCUAAUUAACAUAUGAUAACAUAUGUUCACAUACAAUAAGUAUAUUUAAUACUAAUCAAACAAUUAUACGCGCUCAAAGGAGCGGAAAACACUUUGGAUAAGCGUUUGGGUGUCCCGGGUAGCGUCUAAAGGUGUAUAUGGCUAAGGAAUGGAGUUUACCCUCCGAGAGUAAACCCUUAAUACCAUGUUUACGCCCCAGGGACUACUCACCAUGAGUUUGCGGCCGUAAACUCAUGGUGAUGGGUUCUAGGGUGUUUUAGGCUUCUAGCUUGUUCAUGGGAUUUUUCUAAGUACUUUUCCAAAAAGGCAUGAGUGGGUUUAAGGCUUCUAAGGGCAUUAUAUGGGAGUUUACGGCCUAGGAACAACUCCUAUGGGAGUUUA
rnacentral:lncRNA from 1 species